CCUAACACAUGCAAGUCGAACGGUAACAGGAAACAGCUUGCUGUUUCGCUGACGAGUGGCGGACGGGUGAGUAAUGUCUGGGAAACUGCCUGAUGGAGGGGGAUAACUACUGGAAACGGUAGCUAAUACCGCAUAACGUCGCAAGACCAAAGAGGGGGACCUUCGGGCCUCUUGCCAUCAGAUGUGCCCAGAUGGGAUUAGCUAGUAGGUGGGGUAACGGCUCACCUAGGCGACGAUCCCUAGCUGGUCUGAGAGGAUGACCAGCCACACUGGAACUGAGACACGGUUCCGACUCCUACGGGGGGCAGCAGUGAGGAAUAUUGCGCAAUGGGGGGAACCCUGACGCAGCAACGCCGCGUGGAGGACGAAGGUUUUCGGAUUGUAAACUCCUUAACUGGGGGAAGAGAGAGGACGGUACCCCAGGACGAAGACACGGCUAACUAGGUGCCAGCAGCCGCGGUAAUACCUAGGUGUCGAGCGUUAUCCGGAAUUACUGGGCGUAAAGGGUGCGCAGGCGGUGUUACAAGUCCGGCGUGAAAGCUUCUGGCUUAACUGGGAGAGGACGUCGGAAA
rnacentral:rRNA from 1 species